UACGUAGGGUGCAAGCGUUGUCCGGAAUUAUUGGGCGUAAAGAGCUCGUAGGCGGUCUGUCGCGUCUGCUGUGAAAACCCGGGGCUCAACCCCGGGCUUGCAGUGGAUACGGGCAGACUAGAGUUCGGUAGGGGAGACUGGAAUUCCUGGUGUAGCGGUGAAAUGCGCAGAUAUCAGGAGGAACACCCGUGGCGAAGGCGGCUCUCUGGAACGCAACUGACGCUGAGACGCGAAAGCGUGGGGAGCAAACAGG
rnacentral:rRNA from 1 species